rnacentral:lncRNA from 1 species
CCCGCACGUCUCAGGCUCACGGUCGUAAGUGCAGAAGGUAAUUAGCACAGGAUCUUAAUAAACUGGCAGCUAGCAGACCGAAUCAUUAAAAAACAGCCACAAAGAAAAUCCACACCAACAGUAACACUCCAGAGACAAUUCAGAAACACAAAAGUAUAUUUUGAAGGAAGGAUUACAGCCCUUCUUUGAAGUCUGGAAGUAGUUGU